UGAAAUGGGGACAGUUGUGGA
rnacentral:misc_RNA from 1 species